GGGAAGGUGGCUCAGUGGUAGAGUGCUUGCCUUGCAUGCAUGAAGCCCUGGGUUCA
rnacentral:tRNA from 1 species